AAAAUUAGAGUGUCAAAGCAGGCAGACAUUUAAUCUCGGCCNCNGAAUNCAUUAGCAUGGGAUAAUGGAAUUGGGACCCUGUCCUCCUAUUUUCAGUUGGUUUUCGAGGACCAGGGUAAUGAUUAAUAGGGGAUAGUUGGGGGCAUUAAUAUUUAAUUGUCAGAGGUGAAAUUCUUGGAUUUAUGAAAGAUUAACUUCUGCGAAAGCAUCUGCCAAGGAUGUUUUCAUUAAUCAAGAACGAAAGUUAGGGGAUCGAAGACGAUCAGAUACCGUCGUAGUCUUAACCAUAAACGAUGCCGACCAGCGAUUAGGAGACGUUGAAUACAAAACACCACCUCAGGCGGGUCGUUCCUGGCUAGCUUCCCGCAAGCGGGGUUGGUGGGGGCGAUUCGUUUCCCUGAUGGCCCGGUGAA
rnacentral:rRNA from 1 species